rnacentral:rRNA from 1 species
GAUGAACGCUGGCGGCGUGCCUAAUACAUGCAAGUCGAGCGAACAGACGAGGAGCUUGCUCCUCUGACGUUAGCGGCGGACGGGUGAGUAACACGUGGAUAACCUACCUAUAAGACUGGUAUAACUUCGGGAAACCGGAGCUAAUACCGGAUAAUAUAUUGAACCGCAUGGUUCAAUAGUGAAAGACGGUUUUGCUGUCACUUAUAGAUGGAUCCGCGCCGCAUUAGCUAGUUGGUAAGGUAACGGCUUACCAAGGCAACGAUGCGUAGCCGACCUGAGAGGGUGAUAGGCCACACUAGAACUGAGACACGGUCCAGACUACUACGGGAGGCAGCAGUAGGGAAUCGUCCGCAAUGGGCGAAAGCCUGACGGAGCAACGCCGCGUGAGUGAUGAAGGUCUUCGGAUCGUAAAACUCUGUUAUUAGGGAAGAACAAAUGUGUAAGUAACUAUGCACGGAUUGACGGUACCUAAUCAGAAAGCCACGGCUAACUACGUG